AUUGAACGCUAGCGGAAUGCUUUACACAUGCAAGUCGAACGGUAGAGGGGGCAACCCCUUGAGAGUGGCGAACGGGUGAGUAAUAUAUCGGAACGUGCCCAGUCGUGGGGGAUAACGUAGUGAAAAUUACGCUAAUACCGCAUACGAUCUAAGGAUGAAAGCGGGGGAUCGCAAGACCUCGCGCGAUUGGAGCGGCCGAUAUCAGAUUAGGUAGUUGGUGGGGUAAAGGCCCACCAAGCCAACGAUCUGUAGCUGGUCUGAGAGGACGACCAGCCACACUGGAACUGAGACACGGUCCAGACUCCUACGUGAGGCAGCAGUGGGGAAUUUUGGACAAUGGGCGAAAGCCUGAUCCAGCCAUUCCGCGUGCAGGAUGAAGGCCCUCGGGUUGUAAACUGCUUUUGUACAGAACGAAAAGGUUUCUACUAAUACUAGGAGCUCAUGACGGUACUGUAAGAUAAGCACCGGCUAACUACGUG
rnacentral:rRNA from 1 species